GCCGGGCGCGGUGGCGCACGCCUGUAGUCCCAGCUACUCGGGAGGCUGAGGCUGGAGGAUCGCUUGAGCCCAGGAGUUCUGGGCUGUAGUGCGCUAUGCCGAUCGGGUGUCCGCACUAAGUU
rnacentral:SRP_RNA from 1 species